GGCGGCGUAGCCAAGCGGUAAGGCGGAGGUCUGCAAAACCUCUAUACGCCGGUUCGACUCCGGCCGCCGCCUCCA
rnacentral:tRNA from 1 species